GAUGAACGCUGGCGGCGUGCCUAAUACAUGCAAGUCGAGCGAACAGACGAGGAGCUUGCUCCUCUGACGUUAGCGGCGGACGGGUGAGUAACACGUGGAUAACCUACCUAUAAGACUGGGAUAACUUCGGGAAACCGGAGCUAAUACCGGAUAAUAUAUUGAACCGCAUGGUUCAAUAGUGAAAGACGGUUUUGCUGUCACUUAUAGAUGGAUCCGCGCCGCAUUAGCUAGUUGGUAAGGUAACGGCUUACCAAGGCAACGAUGCGUAGCCGACCUGAGAGGGUGAUCGGCCACACUGGAACUGAGACACGGUCCAGACUCCUACGGGAGGCAGCAGUAGGGAAUCUUCCGCAAUGGGCGAAAGCCUGACGGAGCAACGCCGCGUGAGUGAUGAAGGUCUUCGAAUCGUAAAACUCUGUUAUUAGGGAAGAACAUAUGUGUAAGUAACUGUGCACAUCUUGACGGUACCUAAUCAGAAAGCCACGGCUAACUACGUG
rnacentral:rRNA from 1 species